rnacentral:lncRNA from 10 species
UUUUUUUUAAAAAGAAAGCAAGUAAAGACACCAGCAGAAAACUUUUGCCUCCAGAUACAAGUGGGCAUGUAGGGAGAGAAUAGUAAACUGGCUUUUCUUUUCUAGGCAACAUUCGAAACCCAGGUGCCACUCCUUCAGGAAGGUACCAUCAAGCUCCAAGGACUCUUAUCCUCUUUCUCCUUCCCCACUACCUAGUCAUUAGAGCGUCAGCAUCCACUUCUUGAAAGGAAGAUGCCUGUUUUUCACAUAUCCCAGAAAGCCCCAUUUUAGGACAGCAUUUAGCAGAGUAUAUUCAGGAUCCCACUAACCUUUUUGGAAGACAUGACUUCCAGAUGAUAUAAGGCUCCAUCAGGAACUGUGCAGGACUGUGCCCUCUGUUGAUACUCACAUGGUGGAAUUAUAUUGCCCUUGGCCAACCCUAAAGCCAUCAAGAUAGCAGGUCUGGCCUACAGAGAAGAGAGAUCAGGGAGCUCUUCAGUUGUAC